UACGUAGGGGCAAGCGUUGUCCGGAUUUAUUGGGCGUAAAGCGCACGCAGGCGGUCUCUUAAGUUCGAGUGACAGGUCAGGGCUUAACCCUGGCAGGCCUUGGAAAACUGGGGACUUGAGGGCUUCAGAGGACGCGGAAUUCCAGGUGGAGCGGUGAAAUGCGUAGAGAUCUGGAAGAACACCGAAGGCGAAGGCAGCGUUCUGGGAAGCAACUGACGCGUC
rnacentral:rRNA from 1 species